rnacentral:rRNA from 1 species
GACGAACGCUGGCGGCGUGCUUAACACAUGCAAGUCGAACGGAAAGGCACUGCUUUUGUGGGGUGCUCGAGUGGCGAACGGGUGAGUAACACGUGAGUAACCUGCCCUUGACUUUGGGAUAACUUCAGGAAACUGGGGCUAAUACCGGAUAGGAGCUCCUGCUGCAUGGUGGGGGUUGGAAAGUUUCGGCGGUUGGGGAUGGACGCGCGGCUUAUCAGCUUGUUGGUGGGGUAGUGGCUUACCAAGGCAUUGACGGGUAGCCGGCCUGAGAGGGUGACCGGCCACAUUGGGACUGCGAGACGGCCCAGACUCCUACGGGAGGCAGCAGUCGGGAAUAUUGCACAAUGGGCGGAAGCCUGAUGCAGCAACGCCGCGUGCGGGAUGACGGCCUUCGGGUUGUAAACCGCUUUCGCCUGUGACGAAGCGUGAGUGACGGUAAUGGGUAAAGAAGCACCGGCUAACUACGUG